rnacentral:rRNA from 1 species
CUGGCGGCGUGCCUAAUACAUGCAAGUCGAACGGUCUUUCUAUGGAAGCUUGCUUCCACUGAGAAGAUAGUGGCGAACGGGUGAGUAACAACGUGGGGUAACCUGCCCCAGUAAGAGGGGGGAGUAACGAUCCGGAAACGGGUGCUAAUACCGCAUAGUUUCUUGAUCGCAUGAUCGGGAAAGGAAAGACGGCCUUUGUGCUGUCGCUUAUGGAUGGACCCGCGGCGUAUUAGUUAGUUGGUGAGGUAACGGCUCACCAAGACGAUGAUACGUAGCCGACCUGAGAGGGUGAUCGGCCACAUUGGGACUGAGACACGGCCCAAACUCCUACGGGAGGCAGCAGUAGGGAAUCUUCCGCAAUGGACGAAAGUCUGACGGAGCGAACGCCGCGUGAGUGAAGAAAGGUUUUCGGAUCGUAAAACUCUGUUGUCAGAGAAGAACAAGUUGGAGAGUAACUGCUCCAGCCUUGACGGUAUCUGACCAGAAAGCCACGGCUAACUACGUGCCAGCCGCGGC